rnacentral:rRNA from 1 species
AUUGAACGCUGGCGGCAUGCCUUACACAUGCAAGUCGAACGGCAUCGCGGGAAAGCUUGCUUUCCUGGCGGCGAGUGGCGAACGGGUGAGUAACACAUCGGAACGUACCGGCUAGUGGGGGUUAACCCGUCGAAAGACGGGCCAAUACCGCAUACGCUCUUCGUAGGAAAGCAGGGGACCUUUGGGCCUUGCGCUAGUCUACCGGCCGAUGUCCGAUUUGCAAGUUGGUGGGGUAAAGGCCUACCAAGGCGACGAUCGGUAGCGGGUCUGAGAGGACGAUCGGCCACACUGGGACUAAGAAACGGCCCAGACUCCUACGGGAGGCAGAAGUGGGGAAUCUUGGACAAUGGGGGCAACCCUGAUCAAGCAAUGCCGCGUGGGUGAAGAAGGCUUUCGAGUUGUAAAGCCCUUUCGGCAGGGAAGAAAUCGGCGGGGCGAAUAACCCUGCUGAAUGACGGUACCUUCAGAAGAAGCACCGGCUAACUACGUG